rnacentral:rRNA from 1 species
UACGGGGGGAGCAAGCGUUGUUCGGAUUUACUGGGCGUAAAGGGCGCGUAGGCGGUAGCACAAGUCAGUUGUGAAAUCUCCGGGCUUAACUCGGAAAGGUCAACUGAUACUGUGCGACUAGAGUGCAGAAGGGGCAACUGGAAUUCCUGGUGUAGCGGUGGAAUGCGCAGAUAUCAGGAGGAACACCGAUGGCGAAGGCAGCUCGCUGGGACGGUACUGACACUGAGGCGCGAAAGCGUGGGGAGCGAACAGG